CUCACAGACCUUUCAUCAAACACGAAGCAUCCCCAUUAGAGAUGAUGAAUUCCUAAAAGAACAAUAAGCUUUUUUAAGCUAAUACAUCAUAUAAAUGUAAACCCAGAACUUAAAUGCAUGAGAUUUAAAGCAUGAACAAAACCUGAAACAUGCAAAAAAGAAAAAAAGAAAAAAUUGUUUCAAGCUUUUAAUCUCUUAAACAGUGGCGGAGCAUAGUAGAGACCUAGAGAGCCAUGGUCACUUAAAAUAAUAAAUUUUUAGUUUAAAUUUU
rnacentral:lncRNA from 1 species